UAAUACAGAGGGGGCAAGCGUUGUCCGGAAUUACUGGGCGUACAGCGCGCGCAGGCGGGCCGUGACGUGCCGUGUGACAGCCGCCGGCUUAACCGGCGGAGGCCAGGGUAGACGCACGACCUGGAGGCAGGGAGAGGGAUGUGGAAUGCCCGGUGGAGCGGUGAAAUGCGUAGAGAUCGGGCGGAACACCAGCGGCGAAGGCGGCAUCCUGGCCCUGACCUGACGCUGAGGCGCGAGAGCGUGGGGAGCAAACCGGAUUAGAUACCCGGGUAGUCCACGCCGUAAACGAUGUGAACCCGGUGCUGGGGGGUGAUUGCGCCCCUCGGUGCCCCAGCUUACGCGAUGAGUUCACCGCCUGGGGACUACGGCCGCAAGGCUA
rnacentral:rRNA from 1 species